rnacentral:snRNA from 1 species
AAAUAUUGCUCUAUUAGUAUUUCUCCAGUAGGUUUCUUGGAGGAGACCCAC